UUUCUGAGCGGUGUUUCCUAGAGUCUCGGCCCUCCUACCACUUCGCCCCGUUUCCCGCCACCCUUUGUUGUCCGGAAGCCCGGAGACAUCGCGGCUGCGCUUCUGCUACUCGCUGCUCCGCACGGAACGGUCAGCACUGAUGAUCACAACAACAUGACAUCAGAAAGCUUGGAUGGAGCCCAAAGUUAAAGUCAAAACCUGGAUGAACUAACAGAAGUAAUCACUGGAGUACCCCCCCAUAGAAGAUUGGGCCAAGAGAGGAGAAAAUCCUGUUUGGAGCAAGGAGGAUGUCGCAAAGAACCAGGAAGAGGGAAGUGCUCAGCAAAAAGAACGGAACUAACGGAACCUGGACUGGUUUCUCAUCCUCCAGAGCUCUGUCGGCGUGUGAGGCUGGUGCCUAAACCGAACCUCACUAUCACAUUAGAUGGAGCCCUUAUCUUCUUUGCUUGCAGCCACUUGAUCAUAUCUCAUGGGCAGGAAGACAAGCAUGGUGCAUGAAAGUACAGAGGUGAUGGAGGGACAUAGGAAGGAGGACAUGAGAUGGAAUUACAGAGUCAAGUUGAAUUUAAAAUUAAUUCCUGCAGAAAAGACUUUUACACAUUGGCUUAUGUUCAGUAAUAAAGAAAAAUAGUUUAA